rnacentral:snRNA from 1 species
AUAGCCUCGUAUGAUAUUAAAUUUACUUUUUGUGGGGGAGAAUCCAUCACAGUGGCUUGCCGCUAGGGCUCUCUUGCACGGCCUUGGUUUUGCACUAUCGUCAAGGCUAGGUGCACCCCAA